rnacentral:misc_RNA from 1 species
AACGCACAUUGCGCCCCUUGGUAUUCCAUUGGGCAUGCCUGUUCGAGCGUCAUUUACACCCUCAAGCUCUGCUUGGUGUUGAGCGUCUGUCCUUGCCUUGUGCAAAGACUCGCUCUAAAUGUAUUGGCAGCGGCAUCGCCAGCUUCUUGCGCAGCACAUUGCGCUCUAAGAUUUUGGUGAGCUUGCAUCCAUUAAGAACCCCCCAAGUUUGACCUCGAAUCAGGUAGGGAUACCCGCUGAACUUAA